rnacentral:rRNA from 1 species
AGCACGGGAGCAAUCCUGGUGGCGAGUGGCGAACGGGUGAGUAAUGUAUCGGAACGUACCUUUCAGUGGGGGAUAACGUAGCGAAAGUUACGCUAAUACCGCAUAUUCUGUGAGCAGGAAAGCAGGGGAUCGCAAGACCUUGCGCUGAUUGAGCGGCCGAUAUCUGAUUAGCUAGUUGGCGGGGUAAAAGCCCACCAAGGCAACGAUCAGUAGCUGGUCUGAGAGGACGACCAGCCACACUGGAACUGAGACACGGUCCAGACUCCUACGGGAGGCAGCAGUGGGGAAUUUUGGACAAUGGGCGCAAGCCUGAUCCAGCAAUGCCGCGUGAGUGAAGAAGGCCUUCGGGUUGUAAAGCUCUUUUGUCAGGGAAGAAACGGCAGGUUCUAAUACACAUUGCUAAUGACGGUACCUGAAGAAUAAGCACCGGCUAACUACGUGCCAGCAGCCGCGGUAAUACGUAGGGUGCAAGCGUUAAUCGGAAUUACUGGGCGUAAAGCGUGCGCAGGCGGUUUUGUAAGUUUGCCGUGAAAUCCCCGGGCUCAACCUGGGAAUGGCGAUGAUGACUGCAAGGCUAGAAUCUGGCAGAGGGGGGUAGAAUUCCACGUGUAGCAGUGAAAUGCGUAGAGAUGUGGAGGAACACCGAUGGCGAAGGCAGCCCCCUGGGUCAAGAUUGACGCUCAUGCACGAAAGCGUGGGGAGCAAACAGGAUUAGAUACCCUGGUAGUCCACGCCCUAAACGAUGUCUACUA